AAGAAAAAAUAGAUAUUGAUAUCCAAUAUGUGUGCAUUUGAAGUGGCAAGUACAUUUCAGACCUGGCUAGUAGCCCAAGACUUGAAAGGUUUGAGCCCUCCUUACAUGUAUCUGUGUAUGUGUCUGCAUGUAUGACUUAUCAGACAUGAUCACACACAUCACUGACAGUGGCCUAAACUUAUCAAUCACAGCUACUUACACAACUACAUAUAUCAC